rnacentral:lncRNA from 1 species
GAGAAAGAGGUGGAGAAAUACUAAAUAUAAAUUUCAGCUUCAGAAUCAAUGAAGCAGUGCUGACUAUAGUCCCACCUCUUCUAUUGUGUUUUUUUCAGUGAAACACUGACCAACUGCCACAUGAAGAAACAGUGAUAGAUUAAACUUAAUACCAGACAAGCGGGGAUCUGGUUAGGGCAAGGAGUAAACUGUAGCAGAAGCUCUUGGUGCCCCAUCCAUAUCUCUACAGCCCUUAUCAUUUAAGUGCAUAAUAAUUAGUAAUUACUUUGGAGGGCAGGUACAGAUAAAAAGGCAUAAUGAGGGCUUUUGGUGGGUUGAAAAUGUUCUCUUUUUAGAUCCAGGUAUUGGUUGCACAGGGGUGUUCAGUUUGUGAAAAUUUAAUAAACUUAUGUGCAUGUGUGUGUCUGUACAAAAUUAAGGAAAGCAGAAUGGAGUUAAAAUCAGAAAUAUUGUUCUAGAAGUUAUCAGGUUUAACCAGGUUUUACAAACAGCCAAUUUUGUUAUUUAAAUAAUCAAAAUAUUUCCUUUAACAUUUAUCAUGAUUUCAACUGAAAUACUUUAUUACAGCCAGGAAACUGAUUUCUAUUGUAUCAUUAUUUCUUAGGUAGUUCUGUUGUAUUUAAAACUCUAAUGUCCAUACAAUAGCGUCAGAAUGCUUUUUUUUAAAACUCAGUUAAAAUGCAUGCCAGGCUUGACAGGUUAUGAUUCAAAACAUUAAAUGUAUCCUUCAAAUUAAUUUCUGUGAUAUUACUUUGAAAUGCUUUAAAACUGGCUUUCGACUUUUUAAUUUCAUUACAUAAAUCAAAACAGUCAAUAUUUCUUGGAUACUUACAUUCUCAUUAUAUCCCCUUUCUUCUUCCUUCUUCUUUGGACUAUUUUUUUUAAUUCAGAAAAAAAAAAAUCUUAUCUUUAUACCUUAACAUCAGAUGGUAAACCAUUUUAUUUAAUAUUCAGCCUGGUUAGAGAUUUGAAUGGCUAUAAUAGUUGGGGAGAGGUGGUAAUAGUAGAGACUGGAAGAUGCCUUUUUUCAGUUUAAUAUCAAGGUCAUGUUGUUAUUAUCAAACUUGGUUGCAUAAGGCAAUUUUUUAUGUUCAUAAACUCUAUUUUGAUAAAUCGAUCCACUCAUUCAACAUUUAUAGAAACAAAACUAUUACAACCAAAUAGGUGGAUCCUGCUCUCAGAGAACUCAUUGUCUAGCUACAUUUUGGGAUAGUGUGUCCUGAACCCCAUUAGGGUGUAGCAUAAGCUUGACAAAGGUAAUCUAACCAGCCUUAUUUUUCUAUUCUCGGUCAAUAUUCUGUCUCUAUACACAGACUAAAGAUAAGUAUGGAAUGAGAGUUCCUACAUAUAGGUUAUAUGGUAAAAUUUGUGGAAUAUGCAAAGAGAUAAAUGAGAUGUAUUUGCUUUACAGCAUUCACCAGGGCUUAGAAGACCCUGUGGCACCUGAAAGUGAAUGUGCAAUUGGAUUGGAGUUAUGCUGCAACAAUUAGCUGCUCAAUUGUGUGUUUAUUACAUAUACCAAGAUCACUUAAAUAACACUACAGGUCUUCCUCAAUGGUGAUUUUUAUUCUGAUGGAGAAGACAUGCCUGAAGUGUAUUGAGCAGAAGAGUGACAAGAUCUGACUAACCUGCUGCAGAACUAAACACCAAAAAAGCUUGAGUUUCUACUAAAUCGCUCUUGUGUUUCACUAGAGGUGGUUUCAGUUCAGCAACAAGGUGACCUCACAGCAGGAUAUUGAACCACUGCUGCUGUUUUAUGAACUUCUCAAGAGAUGAGAAUUCUGAAAGAAGGCCUUGAUUUUCUCAUAUUUUAUAAUAAUAUUCACUAAUUCAAUCAUUCAUCUGUUUUAUUCUUCAAUAAUAAUAAAUACGGUUUAAUUCAAAGAUAAAUUUAAAGAAGAGAAGAAAAAUGUUGGUUCCUGAAAUGCAGACAUUUAGGCAAUCUUCAAAACAUUUGCUUGAAUAAACAUUCAGACUUUAAUUUAGUGGCUUUGUUGCUGCCCAGUCUUUUGAAAGAUAUUUGAAAAUUCAGGAUACAUGUUUACAGAAGAGACAAACUUGACUUCAUUAUCUAGAGCCAGAACACAUAGUAUCUGUAUAUCCACGGUGAUUGGGACUAAUGCCAAGAUUUGAAAUAAUACCUCAGACAGUUCAGCUUCAGAGAGAGAAUAGCUUUUGAAAAAUCUAAAAUCUACCUUAGGAACGUACAUUUCUCUAAGCAAAGUGAGUAUGUAAACAAAAUGUUUUAUUAUCAGGGAUUUCUCCCUUUCCCCUUCAAUGUUCCCUUUCUCUUUCACCAGGCUCCCAGGCUCUUGACACUCCUGGUUCCUCCCAGUCCCCUUGUGAUUCCUUUAAUAUCUAUGCCUAUUUCUGAGAUAUCCCUUCCUCACUCUGCCCCCUGCAUACCCGUCAGUUGCCUUGUAAUGUCCCUUUCCCUGAAAGCCUCGUUAUUUACCUACAUUUAAAAUAUAGAUUAUAUUAGGCUUAUACCCUAACCAUUCCACAUGAGAUCUACACUGUAAUUGAGGCUUCUAAAAAGUGAUGUGGUAUGGAGGACCAUGAUCAGAUCAGUGGAGGCCUUUGGGAGACGGGGGAGCUUUGGAAAUCACAUCAGUGAAAGGUGUGGACAAAAACGGCCUUUUGUUGUUCCACAUCAUUUUUUAAUCGUAUUUUUUAAAGAAAAAAAUGAAAAGAUUCCCUCAAGUAAGUAUAUUAUUCUGGUUUCCUCAGACCAUCUCACUAACAUGUUUCAUUCACUAUUCCAGUAUUUCACUCGCGUUGGUGAGAAGAGACCACCAAACAGGCUUUGUGUGAGCAAUA